UUGUUCUUCCGAGCUGGAGGGUACAGACUUGAGGAUUGUUCUCUAAGAGGUGGAGCAGUUGGCACUUCCUCUCGGGUGAUGCUGGAUACAUCUAGCGGGAAUACUAGCUCGUCCAGGCUGAAAAGGAUAAUUCUUGUUGGGAAUUGACUUGAAGGAAUAUUCUCCAUCUGCUACAUUGAUCUGAAGACCACUGGCACAGCGGUCUCACCAUUUGCCAAGUAGAGUGGACCAAGGGCCCAUGCCCGGAGUGGAUCAGAGGAUGCAAGCUCUGUCCAUAAGCUCUCGUG